CGGCCGCGCGCGAAUGUGGGAGCUCGCGGCCGGAGCGCCCGGGGAGGCCGGGCCCACGACGCCCGUGGCUCCGCUGCGGCAGCGGCGGUGCUGGUGGCGCGCGCGGCCGGGAGGCGGCUUCGCGCCGUGGGCGGGAGGCUGCGGCGGGCGACCGGUCCUGGACACGCGAGGAAGAGCGAGCCGAUGGCGCCAGCGGCCGCGCUUCGACCCGGUAACUUACAAGAUGAUAAUUAAUGUGGUUGCCGAUGAUUCUGAAUAAAUACAGCUUUUAUCUCAGAAAUGUGAAUCCUCAGAUGGAAUGAAAGGCCUGUACCAUAGACAUCUAAGCAUUUACACCCCGCUUGAAGAGUUUGAAAUGGACUUUACCACUGAGAAAUCAAGAUGGCAGCCCAUUAUGGGGAAUUGAGGAA
rnacentral:lncRNA from 1 species